rnacentral:rRNA from 1 species
GUUGAACGCUGGCGGCAGGCCUAACACAUGCAAGUCGAACGAGGGGCGGAGGGGAGAGUAAUGUCUGGGAAACAGCCUGAUGGCGGGGGAUAAUUACGGGAAACGGUAGCUAAUACCGCAUACCAUCAGAUGUGCCCAGAUGGGAUUAGGUAGUUGGUGGGGUAACGGCUCACCAAGGCGACGAUCCCUAGCCGGUCUGAGAGGAUGACCAGCCACACUGGAACUGAGACACGGUCCAGACUCCUACGGGAGGCAGCAGUGGGGAAUAUUGCGCAAUGGGCGCAAGCCUGAUGCAGCAAUGCCGCGUGUAUGAAGAAGGCCUUCGGGUUGUAAAGUUCUUUCAGCGGGGAGGCGGUACCCGCAGAAGAAGCCCCGGCUAACUCCGUGCCAGCAGCCGCGGUAAUAC